rnacentral:rRNA from 1 species
UGCUGGAUGCUGACGAGCGGCGGACGGGUGAGUAAUGCAUAGGAAUCUGCCCGAUAGUGGGGGAUAACCUGGGGAAACCCAGGCUAAUACCGCAUACGUCCUACGGGAGAAAGGGGGCUUCGGCUCCCGCUAUCGGAUGAGCCUAUGUCGGAUUAGCUAGUUGGUGAGGUAAAGGCUCACCAAGGCAACGAUCCGUAGCUGGUCUGAGAGGAUGAUCAGCCACAUCGGGACUGAGACACGGCCCGAACUCCUACGGGAGGCAGCAGUGGGGAAUAUUGGACAAUGGGGGCAACCCUGAUCCAGCCAUGCCGCGUGUGUGAAGAAGGCCCUCGGGUUGUAAAGCACUUUCAGCGAGGAAGAACGCCUAGCGGUUAAUACCCGCUAGGAAAGACAUCACUCGCAGAAGAAGCACCGGCUAACUCCGUGCCAGCAGCCGCGGUAAUACGGAGGGUGCAAGCGUUAAUCGGAAUUACUGGGCGUAAAGCGCGCGUAGGUGGCUUGAUAAGCCGGUUGUGAAAGC